GGCAGCAUGCCAGAGUGAUUAAUGGGUGGGAUUUGGGUCAGCGAUUGUUCGCCAUCCCAUGGGUUCGCCCACAGGUUCGAACCCUGCUGCUGUCG
rnacentral:tRNA from 4 species